CAGUUGUUGGUUGGUUACUGAACGAACUAUCACGAAAGUUAGGUGAGCGUUGGCAUUACGCGACAUUAGCAUGAUCAUUUCACUUUUCGAUCGUCGCCAUUUUGUAAGCCAAAGAGUGUGUCAUGGACUUCAGCUGGAUUAAAUGUGUAUUACCCGGGAGGAACUGUAAAGAACCAGCCAGACAGCCCGCCCGCCGAGCUGUACUUUGUGUAUGCCAACAUGCCGACAUGCUGUAAUUUGUUAGUACUUCAAGAUCAUACAAUGGAAAAUUGUAUCCAAACUGAAGUAUAAUUUGACGAGCCUGGUUGCUGUAGCCACAGGGGAAUUUUCAAGGACAAGAACCAGUGCUG